UUAGAUGGUUUCACUGGUCCUCUCAGAAGAUAUGGAGGGUACUACAACACCCAAACAAGGACUUGAACCCUGGACCCUCAGAUUAAAAGUCUGAUGCUAUAUAUAUAUAUAUAUAUAUAUAUAUAUAUAUAUAUAUAUAUAUAUAUAUUUCAUUAGAAAAAGUGCAGUACAUUUUCAUGGUACGGUCAGUACUGUUUAUUUUUGUAAUAAAGUGAACUUAAUUUUUCCACUGAGUGUUAUAUUUUCAUUCAGUAGUAAUCGGUUAUUAGUAGGUGCUACCCGACUUGGUUAUCGGCAUCUGUAAGAUCCACUGUCGAUCAGCCUUUAAAAUAGAUUAAUGUGUAUGACAUGAUCUUCUUUAAUUAAUAACGAAAUGCGCUUGUUGACAACUUGCUGUGGUGUAAGGGGAAUAAAACACUUCAGAAUGUGCAGUUCUACCUUAGGGUGAUAACGGUCACUCCACUUCAUUGGAUCGUUGACUGUUUUCCUAUAACCGUAUGUUUAUUCCUUACAUAAAUUAAACACAAAGCAUGUAGGGGUUCUACAUGCAUGUAGUAUUUGUACAAUCAAUAACCUAUUAGAGUAAUACAUUGUGGUAUAUAAACUGAACUUUGUGUUUGAUGUGUCUGCAGUGCCCAAAGCCCGUGGUGGUGGCAGUGCAUGGCGUUUGUGUGGAAGCAGGUCUGUUGGGAGUGUUAAGUACCAUCAUCUCAUACACUCACCACAACUCUGGGAAGUUCCAUCCAUAUUGUUUGCUGUCACUUUUCCUGCAACGCUUUAACCAUCAGAGAGUUAUCUUUUACUGGGGCUUUUAGCUGCAGGAGACUGAAUUACUAAGUUUUUUUUUUUGUGGAUCUGAUUUCUUCUUUCGCAGGAGUGGAUCUAAUCACAGCCUGUGAUAUUCGUCUGUGCACACAGGAUGCCUGGUUUCAGGUGAAGGUAUGAGGAACAUUAACUUGCCAUACAUUGCUUGCUUACAUGUUUACACCAAGAUCUGUAAACAAGCUAUUUUUGUCCAUAUGAUCAUAUAUAGAGAUAGUAAGUGAUGAGAAGAUAAGAAUGGGCUGAUUGUUCUGACUCGUACAAGCCCCUAUGAAAGAGUUGACCACAAGGGGGCACACUCUGAACAAUUAUUUACAUUUGCAGUUUGUUGAAGAUUAAAUAAACCACUGUGAGCAUCAGAUGUCUGGUUUUAAUACAAAGUUUUAUGAUGAACUAUUUUAUGAUAUUACCAUCUUGUCAUUUAUCAAAGAAGAGCUACAAAACCUGAAAUUUGUUCAUUUUUAGACAGAAAAAUUCUGCAGUGUAGCUCUUCUAGUGGGCUUUCCCACUGGAUGUUUAGUCCAACACAGAGCAGUUUGCAUGAAAAGUUGGUAAUGUGACCGUCGUAAUGUGGACUGGGAAGUGCACUGCGGUACCGAACCCGAGACUACCUGUAGAAGGUGGUCCGAGUUCAGUUACAAUGGAACUGUGAAUGUGAAUUGUCCCAUGAAUGUGAACGUAACUUGUAUCCGGGUCUGCACUUUUUCAGGAAGUAGAGUAACCUGUGCUGAAGGCCUGUUGUGGUGAUGACGUGUCAUGACAUGUUUUGGCCCAAAUUUGCAGUGACUUUGAAAAAGUGGAAGCUCCUCUGAAUAUUGUGGAGUUUCUUGAUUUUGCGUUAAUUUCUGUGAUCACAAAAAGGUGAAAUUCUGGACUGACACAUGGAAGAUAUGGAAUGAUAACAGAAGAAUGUGACUUUGGGUUGUACCAUGUAUUUUUUUCAUGUAGCUUUAUUAUUUAGUAUAAAUGAAGGCAAGUGUGUGUUCUGUUCUUCAUCUCUGCAGUCGUGUGUUCCCUGAUAGUCCAUGAUUGCUGGAGCUCUGGAAAUAGCAGGUGAGAUUGCAGGCCGGAGUCGCGUCGCUGUCCAAGGAACCAAAAUCAACCUCCUCUACUCCUGAGACCACAGUGUGACUGAGAGCCUAGACUACAUGGCUACUUGGAACAUGAACAUGUUGCAGACACAGGAUCUUAUGAAGUCAGCGCAGGCAGCCCUGGAAAAGAAGAGUCCGAAAGACGUGCCCUUCUCCAAGCUUUAAAGGAGAAGAUCCAGGGCUGUUGAAGCUGCGGUGGAACUGAGACUUCAUCAUCCACAGAUCUUUAGUUCUUCUUGCUAAGUCUGUUUCUUUUUAGUCUUUUUAUUUUUAGACUGGUCAAAAGACUGAUUAGUGGAAGUGAAAUGAUAGAUGAACUUUUAUUUACUUGCUUUAUUAUUUGCAGGUGCCUUGUACAGUAAGACAGGGUAACUAAUACUCAAAAGCUUUUUUUGUGUGUUAACAUGUACAGUAGAUGGACAUAUUUUUUCUGGUGCUGUGACUGCAGAAUGUAGUGCAGUUAACACAUUAAAUUUCCUUGGAUGCUCACUUUUAACUCUAGGAGGUCACAGUUUGCCCAGACAUCUUUUUUUAAAUCCGUCAAUCCGUCACCCACACGUCAUUCUGAGGGACGAAGAGGAGGAAGCUGGACAGAUAAAUUUAUUUAUUUAUUUAUCAUUGCUGUGUUUCCUCAAUCGAGUGCAGAAAGAAGAAAAACAACACAACUGAUUUAAAAUAAAAAUAUAGAAAAUAAUCUAAUGUAAGAUUCUGAUCCGGUUUGCUUUCAGCAGGAAGGCUGUCCUCUUUCCUGUUGCUCUUUCUCUUCUAUUAGUCCAUUUGUCCAGUCUGAAUCGGUUUUGAUUCGUUUCGAGACGAUUCGGAGUCGAAUAAUUUUCUAGUGAGAGUCGCACACUUCCAAACGAACUAGACUGAGAUGAGUAUUUGAUUCUCACUAGAAAGUGAUUCGACUCUGAAUAAACUCGAAAUGAAUCAGUCAAACUGAUUCAGACUCUAUAAAAGGACUAUGAGAUGUGAUUAAGAUAUAUAUUCCAAUGUUUUGCUUUACAAUUCCAUUGUGUGUGUGUGUGUGUGUAUGUGUGUGCGUGCGCGCGCACGUGUGUUUUUCAGGAGAACGAGAAACUCGGACACAACAGUACAUCCUGACCAUUGGUACUGUGUACACAUCAACAUACACACACGUCUCCAUGCUGGACAUCUCAGGAGCUUUCACACAGUGCUAGGAAUAUCCCGGGACAGAGAAACGCACCUUCUAAGUGAGCGAGUUUAGCGUCAACCGGUGAAAUUUGCUGUAGCGUGAACACUUCGCCUCUGUGAGCUUCACUCUCCGUAGGGUUCACUGUAAUUAGACAUAAAAUGUACAUAGUUUAUUUUUCAUGCAUUUAGGAAUUAAUGUUUUUUUUUUUUUUUUUACUCUUCGAGGAACAGAAAUGAUCUUUCGAGGCAGCUUCUUCAUCACUACCUGCUCCGUUUGACUCAAAAAUGUAACGACCGGUUUCAAAAAGUCACGAUGUCUUCAGUUCAUGAGAUUUUACUGUUGAAUUUAAACAGGAAAUGUGAAAUAUUUUUUCCCUUUGUUUCCUCUACUGUCUUUUUGCUGUGAUCUUGAACACAGUUGUAAUUUUUUAAAAAAAAUAAUAAAAAAAUGAUAAUUCUAGUUCUCUCACUUUCCUUGUCCUAAUUGUCCUGUAUCUGUUAAAUCCGUUUCAUCUCUGGUCUUUCUGUCUGUAUGAACACUUGUAGAAAUGACUUGUAGUCCAUAUUUUUAAAUGAUUCGUGAUUUUGAAUUUAAAUAAAGAUAUUCUUUAA